rnacentral:lncRNA from 1 species
AGGAGCUGCAGCAGCAUGAAAAGUUCCUUCAUCUAGCAUUGAAAUCGCUCGAGACCUGUAAUCCAAGCUUCUGUUCAUCCAGGUGAGUCCCGUCGCCAUCACCCUUUGGUUCAAGCCUCUUAAGCCCUUGUGUUUUUUGUGAGAUGCAGACAGUUUCUGUCAAGGGGCUAAGGUCUGAUCGUAUGCCUGAUCUUAAUCCGCAUUUUCUUUUCUUGUCAAUCUGCGAUGAUGAGUAAAUAGUUCUACGGUGCUUGCUUAUGAUAGCUGAUAACUGAUAUCUCCACAAAGUAUCAUGGACCUAGCAAACCCAUGGAAGCAUACUGAAUAAAAUCCAUGUUUUGAUUGUGGUAAAUUGAAGUCGCAUAUUCACACUGUUAUUUCAAAAAAUAAGAGUAGUGUUUGAAAAUUUAACAAUGGACAUAUUCUUUUGCUAAUAUUGGAAACUUACUAUAAUCAUCUAAAGAUACUUCUCCUGCUGAUACUACGCAUAAAUUAUGUACAAAGAGUGAUAUUCCUUUUAGCACACAUGGUCAGUCCUAACUAUGAUGAAAAGCUGAUCUCUAGGGCCAUAGCUCUAGAUGAAUAGAAAUAGGUUUCUUAUUCUGUAGUUAGCACUUUUGUCUAUUUUAUUUAUAUUAUAUAAAUAAUAACCAAUAGUAUAUGGAUGUAGUUUGUCUUGGAUGGUACUACUAUGCACACUAUGCAGCUAAGAAGUAAGCCUUUUGCUUUAUUAAUUAGUCAAUUUUUUGAUAACCUGUAAUUUUUCAAAUGUGUUACCUUCACUGAUAAACCUAUAACUUAUUUGUCCUCAAAUCUGCAGGAGCUGCAGCAGCAUAAAAAGUUCCUUCAUCCAGCAUUGAAAUCGCUCGAGACCUAUAAUCCAAGCUUCUGUUCAUCUAGGUGAGUCCCGUCGCCAUCACCCUUUGGUUCAAGCCUCUUAAGCCCUUGUGUUUUUGUCAGAUGCAGCCAUGGACAGUUUCUGUCAAGGGGCUAAGGUCUGAUCGCAUGCCUGAUCUGUACAACACAUUAAUCUUAAUCCGCAUUUUCUUUUCUUGUCAAUCUGCGAAGAUGAGUAAAUAGAAUCUUUUUGUAUGAAAAGAAGGAAUACCCUUGAUUUAAAUUGUUUAUUUAUUGGACCCUUACUCUUUGCUGCUGCAAGUAUACCUUUUAUUUUAAGCUACAUUUAUUCAUGCAGGUGCUUGCUUAUUAAAUAGAUUUUUUUGUAUGAAAAGAAGCAAUGCCUUUGAUUUAAAUUGUUUAUUUAUUGGACCCUUACUCUUUGGUGCAGCAAGUAUACCUUUUGUUUUUAGCUACAUUUAUUCACGCAGGUGCCUGCUUAUUAGAUAGAACAUCCCUUUUCUAUUCACGCAAGUAUAUUAUUGGUGCUGCAUCCCUUUUCUAUGUAUCAAGUGUUAUAAACAUGCCAUAAAAAUAAACUGGGUUUUUACUUUUUAGUGUACUUUGAUUUGAAUAUGAUAUGAAUUUAGUCACCUGACAUAUUUUUUGUAUGCAGUUGGAAUCAAGCAAAAAAGUAUGGGUUAAAGUAACAAACUAAAAUAGCUCUCAAGCUGGUAUUCUUUUUACCAAACUUUGUGGCUCCUUUUUACUCUUCUGUUAGCCUAUUACUAUAUUGAAUACUGUUUGGGGGUAAGAAUUUUGCAACUUAGUUUUGUUCACAGCCUUUGAUGUUUUCUACUACUUGUGACAAGAGACAACCUCUUCCACUAUAAAUUUGUUGAUUUUGCAGCCUGCCUGUGUUGCAUCUCUUCUUGUAAUGCUAGGCCCGGAAUGGAUCCAAGACAAAGUUUGA